CACGAAAUCGUAGUGUGCUGGCAAAUUUUCCCAUCUGUGUGUGACAGUGUGGUGAGUUUGGGAAAGCGUGUUGGGAACAGUGGGCAUAGAAGCUAAAAAUAACCAUCAUUGAUGUUUCCACAAGAGAGCGUGGUGAGUUUUUAGGCGAAUGGUAGUAUCGCGACUGAAUACCGUCUCGGUACAAAUUUUCUGACCACACGUCACAUGGUGGAGCUUCGGCCAAGUCGCAAAUGUGCGUGGAUGAACGGGUCACAAUCAACGAUUAUUUUCUCUCUCAAAACAGGAAGAGGAAUCUAUGCUCGUUCAAGUUUGAUAAGGUUUCAACACAAUCGACCUGGUUUUUAAAAGCUAGCAUUUCGGUCAAGUGAUUAUGAACAGUGGAAAUCCGACCCAGUCACUUAGUGUUUCAAGCAAAGCGGUAUCUCAGACUAAAAUUAAUCUGGAAAGCAGUGAAAAUGGAGCAAAAAGAUGGUGGUGAUGCAACAAGUGGUGUUUAGUGCGAGCGAAAAUAGUUGUAACACAUUCAAGAGCUCGGCAGUUAACAAGGAAGCAUCGGAAAGCGUUAAGUGAAAAAGGUUUUUUUUCUGUGGAAGAUCCUAACAUCGGUGGUGUCACAUCGACAACUGUUGCCGAAUAAAAUUUGUGGAGACAGAAACAACAAAAAGAACGAGCAGAAAAACUGUUAAGUACGGGCAGUUUCUUCCUGUUUGCGUUCCAUAUCGUUAAAAACGUGGCACUGAUUUUCGGCUGUUGAGAUGUCGUCAUACCGCGGUAACUAUGGUUACCCUUGGUCUUCAAGCUAUAAUCCAUCUUCUUCGUCAUAUUCGUCAUCCAGUUCCACUUACGGAGGCAGUAGAUACUCGACCGAACCGUCGAGCUCGCGAUUAAGUUCAUUAAGUGGCACCAGCUUCCGUCCAUCGUAUACAUCCGGCAGCUACCGUUCGCCUCGUACGUCAUCCAAUGUGUCAACGUAUAUCAGCCGUUACUCCAGUUUGGCAGCUGAGAAGGAAAAAGAGAAGGAACGCGAAAAGGCUAAAGAAGAAGAGCGCCGUCGAGAGAGAGAACGUGAGAGGGAACUCCGAGAGAAGGAAAGGGAAAAAGAACGAGAUCGCGAAAAGGAUCGCUUAAUCGAAACAUCCCGAAAACUAGAAGCUGAGCUGGACAAGGAUAAACCAAAGUUUAUUAAAAAAUCUGCCUUAAUUGCGGCGAAGUACAGUUCAACGCUAGAAGUGGAAGACACCUCGAAAGGAGGAACAAAAAUUACCAAACCAAAGAAAGACAAUGCUCCGCCUGUUACGUUCACGACUAGGUAUGGAAAAGUAGGAGUUCGUGAAAAAUCAAGAGAGCCCAGUCCGGUUAGCAGAGCUAAUUCGACCAGCAAUCUAGCGACAAAUCGUAUUAAGGUUAGAGAUCCAAGUCCCGCUGGCGGGACUACAGUCCCUAGAGCACGCUCACGAGAUCCUAGUCCGGCUGCAGCUGAUAAUAAACGUCUGGGAAGUUAUACCGCGUCGAUUGCUAGUAAAUUUACUGCUAACGAUAGUGGGAACCAAACAGCGACGAAUCACUACAAGAGACAACCCACGGGUUCGAUCGGCGGCCUUCUGCAAAAUCGUGCGAGAUCUAGAGAUCCCAGUCCAACGGUUCGAACAGUCACCUCACGUGAACCUAGCCCUGUAGAAUCUAGGAAAGUUGCCAAACCAUUCUCGGCACGAUCAAGAGAUCCGAGCCCGGUUACUUCUAGAGGAAAUAUCACAACCAUUAAAGUAACCCCUCCCACCGCAAAAACUUGCAACGAUUCAAGUUCCCACAGUGUCACGAUUAAAAAUGGAACGCGCUCCCGGGAUCCAAGCCCUGUUGAAUCUAAAAAGAUUCCACUUUUCACUUCCAGUAAGCUUCGAUCUAGAGAUCCGAGCCCAGCAGGAAAUAAACCGGUAGCAACAUUCACAAGCGCAAGUCUACGAACAAGGACACGGGAUUCUAGCCCGGCGGGAGUUAAACAAACACCAACUUACACAAGAUCAUUGACGGCAAGAGAUAGCACAACUGAGAUGCGAUCCCUAACGUUACCGAUUACUCGAAAUAGAGAUGUGAGCCCAUCGGUAUCAAAAAUUCGCAGCCGUGAUCCUAGUCCUGCUCUGAGCAUAUCCGGAACCCGCAGGUCUUCCAGAGAACCAAGCCCUGCAGAAUCUGUUAGAGAAAAAUACGGUCUGAACACAAACUCCUAUCGACCAUAUGGUCGAAGUAAUAGCAGCCUGAGUACGACAGCGGCUCGGGUCACGACGAACUCCAGUCCAGUUCCGGCACUUUCGUAUAUGACCUCCAGUGAAGCGAUGGCAGCUCGAACAAGUCGACCAUCGUCCAGAUUGAUAAAUUCUCAUUCUCGUGAACCAUCGCAGUGCGCUUCACCGUUAUUAGUUCGUAGCCAGGUAUUUUCACCAGAACCAAUUCUUACUGUCAAGGAUACCAAAAAAGAAGAAGAAGCUAGAUCAUCGCCGACUGAUUCCACUUCGACCGAGGAGGAAUCUUCGGAAGAAACUGAGAGUAGUGUCGAACCGGAACCAAAAAUAUUCAUUGAAAUAACUCUGGUAACCAGAGGUACUUCCCCGACUCCACCGGGAUCCACUCCGUACAUUAGAGCUAGACGAGCAGAGAUGUGUAAAACGAUUGAGAAAACUAUUCAAAAACAACUACUGAAUGUAGAAACUGCCGAUAAAGCUGUUCAAUCCGAUCGCAUGGAUGAUUCGACACGAUAUCUUCGAUACAAUCAACUAUCGACAAGAACUUGGUCUCCAUUGCUUGACACUAAAUACAGUUCCAGUGGUUCUUCUGGAUACACUCGAUAUUCUAGUGCAUCGUCUCGCUACAGUCGGGACAGUCCAAGCCAAAGUCGUGAGCCGAGCGUGUGUUCAACGCGAAGUGAAGUUCCCGAUGAAAAAAUAUCCACCUUGGCAGCCCGUAUGAAAGAGAUGAAUCUCUCCAAAUCUGCAAGCCCGAAAUAUAAUUCAGCUAAUAGUAGAUCCUCGACGAGUACACCUUCCCUCAAACAGAAAACUUCACCUAAACAAAAAUCACCGGAGAAACCUCCUCCGGCACCGGCAAAGGAUGGAUCGCCAACAAAACCGGUAGCAAAUUCUACCAAUUCCAGAAUCAACAAAGACUUCCGAAAGUCCGCAUUGAACAUGGGUCCUGCACCCGAUCGCCCAAGAAAAGGGUCAAAUGCUUCCAAUAGGUCUAGUUCAUCAACUUCAUCGGGAUCAACCACAACUCAGGUCUCCGGACGUGUCACCCAAAACGGUACUAGCAAAAUACCACAAGUAACUCGAUCCAGUGCUAGUCCCGCUCGUCGUUCCGAUCGAUCGUCAUCAUCGAGUUCGGAAGUAAGUACGUCAACCACUACGUCAACAUCGGAAGCAGAUGGACAACCGUCAAAAUCAUCCCGCUUGAUAUCGUCGGCGGAUGAAGGUGGAAACACAGUUACUGAUUCAUCCAAUGCCAACAAUGAGUUGCUAAUGCGAGCAAUCCAAUUGGCAACAAACUUUGUGAAAGGCAAUCGCAAUACUCCGACCUGGUACGACAACACCAGCGCGACUAGCAUAGCCGACAGUAUCAGCCAGGACCAGGCUCCCAAGUCUGGUUGGGAAGCAGGAACGCAUUACAUGGAUAGCAUAAAGGAUGAUGAUUCUACCGAAGAGGAAGACGAUGAGGGAAAUGGAGCCGAUAGCAUUUUGAAGUCAGGUUUGCAACAGGCAACCUGGUGGAACAACGAUAAUGGAUUCGUUAAACAUCCGCCGGUUCAGGCAGUUACAGUACAAGAAUGUCAGAUGCCUAACAGCAAACCUUUAGCUUUUCGCAUUAGACACAUUCAGUCCGGUGAAAAGGCUUGGUGGAUGACUGAGAAUAAGGAAAAAUCCGAUGCAAACAACGAGAUGGAUGAUCCAGCCGAUGCAAAUAAGAACGACAGUACAUCCGAAAAAGUCUGGUGGAUGACAAAUGCUAACGGGAAAGUAGAAAACAGUAACGAAUAUCGACAAGGGGACGAAAAGCAAGAUACAUCUGGUGACGAUGAUGAUGAUGAAGAUGACGAUGACGAAGAAGACGAAGACGAAAAAGAAGAAGUAGUUCAAGUAGAAGAUAAGGACAAAGAUCUGAAUGAUUCUCAAAGGUCACCAAGCAGUGAGGAUAGGCUACCCUAUUCCCCAUUCCGGCCCAUCAAGUUAACAAAAAUUGAAUCCGGAGAAAAGGCAUGGUGGAUGUUGAGUACAAAUGAUGUACCAUCCAAAGCUAAUGGUUCAUCAGGUAGCGUAAGUAAGGAAGCAUCAAAGGAGGUGUCACCAGAAAAGAAAGGUCCUGGAUUUACGAUGUAUUCGUUAGAAGCAGAAGAUCAGGCUUGGUGGGAAGAAGCGAUGGCUGAUCUGGAGAAGAAAAAUAAGUCCAGUUCGAGUGUAAGUACCAAUACUAGCAGUAAAGCUGCAUCUAAAGAGCCUACGCCGGAACCGAAGUCCCAAGGUUUCAUAAUUACCCGUGAAAGAUCGGGCGAAAAGGCAUGGUGGAUGUGUAGUACCGAUAAAGUAAAUGAUGCAAACAACAGUGACGCUUCCGUCCGUGAGUGUAGUCCUGUCAAGGCAAAACCAUUCAAAAUCACUAGAAUAGAAUCGGGUGAAGCACCAUGGUGGAUGACGGAAACGGAGAAUGGAAUUUCUCGCUCGGGAUCCAAAGCUAAUGUGGUGGUUAGUAGGUCUAAUAGUUUCAAUUCCAAACAAGGCAGUCCCACCAAAUAUAAAAUCACAAGAGUUGAAUCCGGUGAGAAAGCUUGGUGGAUGGAUAGUCCGGAAGAGCAAAGUGUCAGUCCUCAAAAGUUGUGUUCUUUCAUUGAGAAGCAUGGAGAAGAGGAAAUUCAUCAGUCUCGGGCAGAUAAUGAACUAGAUGAGGAGAUCCGUAACAUCGGUAGGUUUGUGGCUGGAUUACCGCGAUUUCCUACCGGUGAUUUUACGGUAGAAGCUAUUACCGACACUCCUUUGGGGGAUCGUGCCAGUCCAGAAGGAGUUGAAGAUACACACGUAACAAAUCGAACUUCUCCAUAUGACAACAUUCCAACAUCUGCGGGCAAGGUAAAAAGCAUAUUGGAACAAGAACCAAAAUCGUAUCAACAACUCGAACUUGACCGUAACUCAACUGACACGGCAGUGUUUAUAUCACGCCAUACCAACAUCGAUGAUCUACUGGGCGGAUCAUGUCAUCCGUUGAGCCCGAUGAUGGAUCGUAUGUUCGUGAUGGAUGAGCUUCAGGAGAUUUCACCACAUGACGUGCGGGUGCACGACAGCACGGCGCAGUUCAUUUAUGGCGACAGAUCCAGUGGCGUUGAAGACGGUUACUCUUGUAAAGCAGUGCUGGACGAUGCGGCAUUGCAAGUGUACAAAGACGGGGAUUACGGGGCCUAUCUGGACCUCGAGUCUUCCCUAGCUGAGCAAGCCGAAGAGAUCGAGGGGCUCAAUGCAAACCGCAAAAACUCUCUUGUCGUGCGGACUCAGCUCAGCGUAAGAGUUCACUCCAUUAUAGAAAAACUACUUUCAUCGGAGGGACGAGAAUUGCGGCGGGCGCUGUUUUCAUUGAAGCAGAUAUUCCAGGAGGACAAGGAUCUGGUGCAUGGCUUCGUGGCACUCGGAGGCCUCAACUGUCUGGUGCAGAUUGGCAACGAAGCCGAUCAAAACUAUCAGAACUAUAUUCUCCGGGCCCUCGGACAAGUCAUGCUGUACGUGGAUGGCAUGAACGGGGUAAUGAAACACUCACCCACACUGCAGUGGCUGUACUCGUUGAUCGCAUCCAAGUAUCGGCUAGUGAUCAAGACUGCCCUGAAACUGCUGUUGGUGUUUGUGGAAUACUGCGAAGGGAACUGUUAUCUGAUGGUCAGUGCGAUUCGCUUCAUCGAUAUGGCGCGUGGGGUGGUGCCUUGGAAUAAUAUUAUGAGACUUCUAAAAGAUUACGAGAACGCCGAUACCGAGCUUCUGAUCUAUGCCACUUCGCUGGUCAAUAAAACCCUGUCUGGGCUGAGUGAUCAGGAUAGUUUCUACGACGAAAGUGAUUUCCUGGAGCAGCAGGGUAUGGAAGGCAUUAUUCAACGGUAUAUGUCUCGUCCGGGCACAGACCUCGACCUUCUGGAUCAACUGCAGCUGUAUGAAACUGUACUACGAUUCGAGGAUGGUGAAACCGAUGGUAUUCGAAUACCAGAUAAUACGGUUCGAAAAACGCUUCGAUAUCGAUCGAACGAUAACGUCAACGAUAGACGGAAGUCACGGCGACAUAGUACCGGAACGGCACCGGUUACGGUGGUACAACAACCUCCGCCAAUACCACCACCGCCUCCGCCCCAUGUACUAUACUCGGUUCCUCCCAAUAUGCCCCCACCGCCACCACCUCCCAUACCUCCACCGGUGGCACCAGUUACGUUGUAUGCCCCACUUCGAAUUCCGCUGCAGCAAACUGUUGACGAGGAUAGUUCAAGUUCGGCAAACUCAGCUGAUCAUAAUCUAACCGGAAAUGGAUACCGGGACGAUUCCAGGGAUACAACUGGAGUCACACCCGGCCUGAGAAGAAGACGCGAGCGAGCGGAACGGCAGAAGACUUUCAUGCGGGAACAGCAGGAACUAUCCCAAUUUAAGGCUCAGGAAGACACGAAUGGUCACGGUUACAUUCUAACCCAAAGCCAUCAGCCUCAGCAGGCACAACAGCAAACACCCACGUUGCCGGUACGGUUGCGAAACGGAUACGAAUCUCGCAGCACGCGACUUGGCAAUGGUAUUCAGUCACCGCCAGCUGUCAACGAGUAUGACCCUUCAACGCGGGUACCGAACCUAACUCAAUCUGUGAUUUAUAGUAGGCAUAAUAAUACUAAUCAUAACGCAACGAAUGGCGAACUUAGUGUCUCGAAUGGGAACAGUCACGAUCCGAUCGAGUAUAGAAACAGUAAGAACCUACUGAAAAGUAAACAAAAUGGUAUCAUCAACGGAAACUACAGCACCGGUAAGCUGGAUGUCAAUGGGAACAUGUCCAAUGGAAGAAACUCGAGCAGUCCUUCGGAACUGGAUGAAAACGAAAGCCCCAACAUCAAACUGAACGGACUGAACUAUGGCGACAUCAACGGAUACGUCAACGGGCAUGGUUAUCAUUUGAAUGGUUUCAGACAACAGAACGGCAAGGAAGAACUUCGCCGUAGCAGCAGCAGCUACAUUAACGGUAAUGGUAAUUUGCAGACCAAUGGACACCACGUCGAACAGAACGGGAAGCAGGACCUGCUGCAAGUGGAAUCCGACAACGAGGACAAGAAACUAAUACUUCAGCUGAAGAAGGAUCACACGGUCAAAGAUCUGACGCAGAAGCUCAGCAGUCUACCGUUGAGCCCGCAGGAGGACAAACCCUCGAACCGGAUCGGCGAUAUGUCCGGUCUUAUUUCCAAAGCGAAGGAAGGACUGGCCAAGAGUAAAAGCAACAAGGACAUAUCUCGAUCCCCCAGCGUGGACAGCGACAUAAAGAAGCUGGCAAGCGAGCAGAAAAAAUCCGAAAACGAGCUCCACUGGGAGGAAAUCGUGAAAAACAUGACUCGGAAGUUGAAUCUGUGCGACCUGGACUUUACCGAUCUCACGUCCGACGACGAUAAGGAUGUGCUUGCGCCACGGGGCUUCGGAGGGGCAGUUCCCCCUCCGCCUCCGCCCGGUGGAAUGAUGCCGCCGGUCAAUGUGAUGCCUCCUCCACCGAACAUGAUGAUGCGACCGCCACUUACGAACCUGGUGCCACCGGCGUAUCCCAGCGGUGGUCUCACGAAUCCAGUCGCCAUGGCCAAUGGCGACACAAGUGGGAUGAACACAAUCAAGAAGAAUAAAAAGACUGUGAAACUUUUCUGGAAGGAAGUUCGCGAGGAUAUGAUCCCGACGACGAUACAGCGCACCAUCUGGGACGAGCUGCCGGAGGCCACCGUGGACACCCAGAAGUUGGAGCAUUUGUUCGAAUCCAGAGCCAAAGAUCUGAUGACAAAGAAGCAGCAGGAGCUGAACAAAAAUAAAGAAAUUAUCGUGCUGGACCACAAACGAUCGAACGCUAUCAACAUCGCCAUGACGAAGCUUCCACCGCCAAGGGCCAUCAAGGCGGCAAUCCUAAAAAUGGACUCCACGGUGGUUACCCGGGAGGGUAUUGAAAAACUUCUGAAUAUGCUACCGACGGACGAGGAACGCUGCAAGAUCCAGGAAGCACAGAUGUUGAAUCCAGAACUGCCACUCGGUACCGCGGAACAGUUCCUGCUGACGCUGUCGUCCAUAUCGGAACUGGGAGCUCGACUCAAGUUAUGGGCUUUCAAGCUUGACUUUGAGAACAUCGAAAAAGAAAUCGCCGAGCCACUGAUGGAUCUGAAACAGGGUAUUGAGCUACUGAAGAGUAAUCUGACCUUCAAGUGCAUUCUAUCCACACUGUUGAAGAUCGGCAUUUUCCUAAAUGGGGCACCGGUUAAAGGAUUUCAAAUUGAUUACCUCGCAAAAGUGCCGGAGGUGAAGGAUACCGUUCACAAACACUCGCUGCUUCAUCAUCUGUGUCACAUGGUGAUGGAGACUCAAGCGAACACCACGGAUCUGUACUCGGAAAUUGGCCCCAUCACACGGGCUUCGAAAGCCGAUUUCGGAGAGCUGUCCCACAACGUCACCUACCUGGAAACGGAAUGCAAAGCUUCCUGGGAUCGGUUAAAGUUAAUCAGCAAACACGACACGGCACCGCAUUUGAAGCAGAAGCUGAUCGAUUUCCUGGCGGACUGUGCCGAACGCAUCAUUAUCCUAAGUAUUGUCCACAGGAGGGUACAGAAUAGGUAUCGCAAGUUCCUACUAUGGUUAGGAGUUCCUCAACACCGCAUUGCCGAGUCUCGGCCAAAUGAGUUUUGUCGGAUUGUGUCGGAGUUCGCUCUCGAAUAUCGAACAACGCGAGAGCGUGUUCAGCAGCAGAUUGAGAAGAAGGCCAAUCACAGAGAGAGAAACAAGACUAGAGGGAAGCUGAUUGUUGAUGUUGCCAAACUCAAGGGUACUAAGGAGGACCGAGCCGAUGUUGAGUUAAGAACCUUGCUGGGAACACCAACCAAAGGACCAGCCGGGGAGGAGCUUGAAAUGAGUGGAACCUUAACAUGGCGACGAAGACGAGGAGAUGCGACGGCAUCGCCUGUAACAUUAAUGAACAGUAGCGGCCACAGUACACUGAACAGUAGCUUCACCGGUAGUAAUCACAAUCGGGACGAAAGCUUCACGGAUGGUGACGACGAAAUUUUGGAGUCGUUGGUCAAAACAGCCACCAAAGCAACCACUCCAAGGCCUGCACAACGAGAGCGGAAGCGAACGCGGCAGGCAGAUCGGAAGUCGUUUAAGAGGUCGAGAACGCGCGAGGGGUUCACGGUGGAACGCAGUGGACAUUCACCAGUCUAGCCGAGUGACGGGAAGCGCAUUGUAGAUAGUGUAACCGCGUGCUUCCAGUGCAAUCUCAUCCCAUCCCAACCAAUAGCAUAUAAGACGAAUAGUACUGUAAGACGGACACUGAAGAACGGAUUAUCCGAGGAAGAGAAGCAACAUGUGGCCUCACUGAUAAAAGGAUAUUAGAAGACACUACGAGCCGCCAAAUUCAGGACCAAUUUCCAACUGGCGGAUAUGUAAUAAAAAGGAAAUUCAUUUUCACCAUCCUGUCUGUAUCACGGUCCGUCGCUAGAUGUGACUGGUGAUUUCGAUGGUGGGACGGUGAAAACGGAACAACUUCUGGCGAGUGAUUACAAAACUUUUGAUAUGUGAUAGAUGAAUAAAAAAUUCAAAAAAAAAAAAUGUUACGAGUAGUAAAAAUUUUAACAGAAAUCGUGUAAGUGACAUGCUAAUAAAAAUUUCAGAUUUGUUUUGGGUUUUGCUGACCAUAAAAUCAAACAAAUAGACUAGUCUAAAUUUUUCGGUAAUGCCACCGCCUCAGUUUCCCACAUUUACUAUUGUAGAAGCUAGUGUUAAUAGUGAAACUCGAAAGGGAAGGAAAACAUGGUGAUUAGUUUCUUAUUAACGAAAGUAUAGAUAGAAAUUGGUAAGACAAAUCUUCAUUGAAAAAUAAAGAACCCAAGGAUUUUAAACGAAACGAAAGCAUUGUGUAACAGAUUUUCCAAAUAUUAAGUAAAACUGAAAAACCCAACUAAAACUAAAAUGCAAAAGCAGCUUCACACUGCUGGUGAAGUUGCAUCUCAUGCUCGAUAUACAAUGUAAAUUAUUGAUAUAUGUCAAAAACAAACAAAAAAAUAAACACAAAUAAAAAUGUUUCUAUUUCAAA